AGUUCCCCACAGCACAGAGAGGAAGCAAGGUCUUUGCAUGCCCUGUUCACUUGGCCAAACAUUGCCCUAGAUGUGCAAUUCAACCCAUAUAAAGCAAGCGUAAUUCAAGAGCCCUGACUCUUUCACCAUUUCAUGAUGGCUUAUUACUCGCACACGGCAUUGUCAGGUUCCAGCAACUCUGUGUGCAGCAGGCAGAAAUGCAGUGUUUAUCUCUGACAGGCAAACAUUCUUAGGCUCAUCGGCAUGAGUAUCCACGCUGAACUGGCUAUCGGGGAAGUAGAUCCCUGCAUGGGAAAGUCAAGUAUCCCCACUGUGUAGAGCUGGUCCACAAUGGAGAGGAGGAAAAGUUUUGCAUUGGACCAAAUCACUGCCUUAGAAGGAAAGAGAUUGCAAUCCCAUUCAUUUUUAAGAUCUGCAAUGGGUUGGGAUGAUACCCAUUUAAAAAAGAAAAAAAAAGAGGUUACCUCUUUGGCCUCUUUGGCAAAGGAUAUGAACUAGUAAUAAAGCCUCAGCAUCAAGGCUUGGGAGUCUGGCUCAAAGUGGCUAAGACUAGAAGCAUCUUCUAACAUAAAUAUGGCAGCAUUAGGAAAAUAGCUUGGCCUUUAGAGAGACCCAGAUUAUCUUCACCUUAAAAACUACCAAGACCCUGGUCCAGCAAGACCACCAUCACAGCAGUAAAUACAUAGCCACCAACUUCACAGAAGGUUUUCCACUGAGACAUUGUGAAAACCACAAUCCAUUACCGGUGGAUGAGUCCCAGCUCUCUUACUACCUGGAGCUUCCAAGCAAGACUUACCUGUCCUUUGUUCCAGAUUGGUUCCUGGGAUCCUGGACCAACACAAAGAGAAGAGGAAAGCCUCAAGGGAAAUAAAAGUGAAGGUUUCAGUGAUAGUUUAAAUAUAUAUUUUUAAAUGUUAGCUUUUUUUUAAAUACUUCACAGUGAUGGAUGGAGUAUUUCAACCACAAUGGCAAAGAAUGAAUUACCGGCAGUGUCAGAGUUUCUUGUUGCUGUGGGAAGACAGCUGCCAUGUUGAGAGGUGCCUUGUGGAGAGGCUCAUGUGGCGAGGAACUGAGACUGGCUUCUAUCCAACAACCAGUGAGGAACUAAGGCCCUAAAGUCCUAUAGUCCACAAGGAACUAAAUCCUACCAACAACUACAUGAGUGAGCCUGGAAUCUGAUUUUCCCCAGUGGGGACUUAAGGUACCUACAACCUGGCUGUUAUGGGCUAAACUGCAUCCUGCCCAAAUUUAUAUGUUUGAGUCUUAACUCCCAGCACUUCAGAACAUGGUUUUGUUUGGAGACAUAGUCAUUAAAGAGGUAAUGAAGUUAAAAUGAGGUCAUUAGGAUGAGUCCUAAUCCAAUAGGACUGGUGUUCUUAUAUGAAGAGGAAAUUUGAACACAGACACAUAUACAGGAAAGACCAUGCGAAGAAGACACAGAGAGGAAACGGCCAUCUACAAUCCAAGGAGAGAGGCCUCAGAACAAGCCAACCCUGCAGAUACCUUGAUCUAGGCAUCCAGAAUUGAUGCUAUGCUCUGAUGUUUGCAGAGGCCAGGAAAUUCUUGCUCUGAGAGUUCCAGAAAAAAAGAUUUGUCCAGAUUUGAACUAAUUUCAGAAAAACAAAACAAAAACAAAAAACCAUCCAAGGUUAAGAGGUGACUUCUGACUCACAGAAUGAACAAGAAGGCAGGGGAAAAAAUAAGUCCCCCAAGAUUCAGGUCAAAGGAAAUGAACAGAAGGAUGAUGGAGUGGCCCAGAGGAGGAUCACGUGACAGAAAAGUCAAGAUAAAUUAGUGGCAGGACAGAGGAAAAGAACUAAAGACCUGCAGGAUCCUGAAAGAAAGAAUGAAAGGAAGCAGAUGAAGAUUCUAGAGCCCAGCUGAAUAGCCAGGCCGCCUGAGGGUAAAGAGGGAGAGAAAGAGGAAGCAGUGAAUCAAAUCAAAAAAGGAUAGAAAAAUACAGAGAAACAAGCCAGGGCACGGUGGCUCUCACCUGUAAUCCCAGCACUUUGGGAUGACAAGGAAGGCGGAUCACAUGAGGCCAGGAAUUUGAGACCACGCUGGCCAACAUGGCAAAACCCUGUCUCUACUAGAAAAAUAUGGAGGAAUGUUUGAGAGAUUGUGCACUGCCAGGGGUGAGGACAUAAAUUUAUUUGCUAUGUGAAUGUUUUUUGAGACUCAUCUAGUUCCUUUACAAUUUUAAUUUAGAAUUUCUUUAGCUCCAAAUCAGGAUCAUUAGCUGGGAGUUCUUAUAAAUCAAAAGCAAAACAAAGCUAUUGCAAACAAGUGGGAGUUCUCAUAACCUUAAUCAGAAAGGCUUGAGUUGCAUUUCCAAAUCCUGUCUCUAGAGACCAUGAGUUUUUAAUGAUAGUAUUUCCAUGAAAGCCCAAUUGAAUACAAUCACCACCCAGACCAAAGUGUAGGGGAAAUCAUAAAGCUACUUUCAAAUCCGAGUCUUCUUUGAAAUUUAAAAUUAUAUUCCAUGAUAAUGGUUCUCAUAAACCUUAAUGCAAGGGAAAAAAAAAAAACUACAGCAGAAUAAAGAAGAUUUAAAAAGAAGCAGGAUAGGAAAAAAGACAAGCCAGAGGCUAGCUAUAUCUUUUCAUAAAGCACACCUGGUCUCAUAAGCACAUGAGAGCUAGGCCCAGAAGUUUCGAGCCUUGGAGACUCACUUCAAACAAAUUCCAGGGAAAGACACUCAAUUAAGUGUUCAGGACAAUUGUAUAUCCCCAGUGCACUCAUGUACUGGAAGUGCUUAAACUCUGCCCUCAGUGGUCAAUAAAAUGGUAUUAAGUCACAGACAACCCAUUGCCAUUGGUAUUGGCUGAUGUCUCUGGUAGUUUAUGUGAUGACAAACAUUAGCCUUAACAGCAGAGCCUUCCUUUCUUUGAUUUCCGUGUGAAAUUCUGUGGCUGGGAGAUGUUUAUGUUCACAUGAACAUAACUGUAAGCAAACCAUCUUAUGGUAGACAUCUCUCCAGAAAAAGCAAAUUCCAUCUUUUUAAAUAGAAAAAAAAAACAGCAGCAAAAUGAAAUUAAUGCCUUUGGCUCAUUGUGUUGUAAAAUUAUCCUUGAAGUUAUUUCACACUGCCCUAAAAAAUCAUUGAAUUCAGAUUAUAACACAGCUCUUAUGAAGCUGUUAGGCAGUUGCAUCUUUAAUGAGGCUGAGUAGGUAAGAGGAACAGAUACUCUAGAUUGAAAGCCAUCGCAAAAAAUGUGAAACAACUGUAUUAAAUUUAAUUUAAUUUAACCAAUGGGUGUAUUUAUUCCCUGCCUUCUUCCAGAAAGGAUUUAGGGAGCUUAGGUAAUGUGGAGGUCUGAAGGUGUAGAUACUCAUGAAAGCCUCAGAUUAAUAUCUAGAACAUAUAAUGUGUCCAGAUAGUUUUCAAUUAUCAAUGCAUUAAUCUAAGCUUGGAAAGGACUUUUAAACUGCAAUGAAACCUCAACUAGUUUCAAACCUGCAUUUUUUAGUAAGCUAUUUUGUCAUUUGGAGACCCACACAAAAAACCUAUUGUUCCUUUAAAAAGGAGAGAGAGAAAAAAAGAAAAACAACCUGCUGGUGUUGCUUUGUUCAUCUUAUCACCUUAUCAUUCAGCAGCCUAUUCAGGAUCAAAUGUGGGAAAGUCUGUGUGUGAGAUUAAGCCCUAUACUCAGCACAGGAAUUUCUUGGAUAAAUGUCUUUCUUAAAUGGAUAGCUAUGUAAAAAACAGAAGAGAAACUCUAUUAUUACAAUGCAGUUGGGUUUUUUUGUUUGGUAUGUUUCAAAUCUAAUAUUUAAAAUUAAGAAAAUUCAAAGCAAACCAUCUGUGUGGAUGUUUUCAUACUCCAUUUUUGUGACAAUAGCUUGCUUAACCGAGAUUAUUAGUGGAUUCUUUCAAUAAGAGGAAGAGAGUACCAUCAUUAAGAUGGUAUGCCUCCACUAGCCUUUAUUUUUGAGAUUAAAGAAUGACAAAAAUAUUUAUAUAUAUUUUUUCAUUAUUAAGACGGAGUCUCACUCUAUCGCCAAGGCUGGAGUGCAGUGGCGCCAUCUUGGCUCACUGCAACCUCUGCCUCCCAGGUUCAAGCAAUUCUCCCACUUCGGCCUCCUGAGUAGCUGGGAUCACAGGCACCCGCCACCACACCUGGCUAAUUUUUGUAUUUUUAGUAGAGAUGGGGUUUCACCACAUUGCCCAGGCUGGUCUCAAAUUCCUGACCUCAAGUGAUCCGCCUGCCUCAGCAUCCCACAGUGCUGGGAUUACAGGCAUGAGCCACCACAACUAGCCAAAAAAUAUAUAUUUUCUUUAAAAAAAAGUUAUUUUCUGCCUAAUUACUUCAAUAUUUCAUGAACAUUGUGGGGGAAAGAAUAUUCAUACAGUUCUCUAAAUAUAUCAGUGAGUUGAGGUACCAAAUACAGAAUUCUAUUGAAUUCUAAUUGCAACACUGAAGCAGACUUACUCUAAGAUCCUGCUACCUGGACUAACCACAGACUAUACCCAGAUUCCAUCUGCAAGAUGUAGUGGAGCCAAACAUCACAUCACUGAGGAAUAUUUAUUAUAUAUCUUUCUGUAGAGGUGAGAGAGUAUUUAUAGAUAUAACAAACAAUUGGUCAGAUACUACUGGAGAUUUGGAAGCUUCACUAGGUUUUUCACUAAAUUUGUUGAUAGCCAACUCUAAAGCUCAUUCUACUACUACUAGCCAUCUUCCCUUGGACAAUUUCAUGGGCAUCGCUUCACUGAAAAGAAAAAUGAAUAAGACACUGAGUCGUGAAAAGGCUAAGUACCUCACACAAGAUCACACAGCCAGUGACAGAACUAGGAUUUGGCUGGACUCUUAAAGACUCUGGUUUGCCAUUUAAAGGCAAUGAAUGAAGUGUUGUGGAACAAAUGUGGAUUUGGACUUUCAAGACCAACUUGAACCAGAGUCUUGAAUCUGCAACUUUACUAGCUGUGGCUUCUUUUUAAUUGAUUAACUUUCUUUUUCUGUAAAAUGGGAAUAAUGAUUCCUACCUCUUACAAGCGUUGUGGUAGGAGGUAUUCCAAAUGAGAUAAAUAUGUGAAAUCACUAAAACUUCCAGAAUACAUGGAAAUAAUAUAUGUCUGUAUUGGCAAAUUAUGAGUGUAGUAAUGAGGGAUUUACAUGGACACAUUUACAUUCUUUAGUUCAGACUCCCUUUGACGACACAUAACAAACACACACAAGAAUAUUUGCCCUGUGUCCAGCACUCUUUUGAGAAUUUCUCUCUUCUCCUCCUUCUGAUAUCCCAACCAACCAACCAGUAGGAAUGUGCCCUAGAAACUAUGUUUUACAGCUCAGUCCACAUCUUUUCACCUUACAAAUUACUUAUUGUUAGUUUCUUGGGAAAGUAAAAUUGAGAUAUUAAGAUUCUAUGAAAUUGGUUGGUGGUAUUGAAGACUGUGCUGCUGCUGCUGCUACUGCUCCAGAACUCUAGUGGAGAUAUUACAAAUGGGAGCAGAAAAAGUGAGAAGGUGGUCUGUAGAGACAGAGCACAGCACAGAGGUAGAAAGGUUGAGAUAAAGAAACAAUGCAGUGAGAGAAGGAGAGAACACAGACAUAGAAACAGAGACAUAAAGGCACCAGACACGAGAGCAGAGAUAAUUUAAUAAGGCCGUAGUUUCUCUUGGAUUUCCAGUUCCUUCUUUUAGUCAAUUCUGAUAUUUAGCACACUGCACUGCACCAGAUAUCUUGUCGCCUUCAAAUAAAGUAUUUUUCCCCCUUAAACAUGCUAAUUUGGGCUUGUAUUAUUUGCAAUCAAUAGAAUUGAGAAAAACACUCUAUGUCAUAUCUGAACUAGUAUAUCAGAAUGGUUUUCUGCCAUUGGUAACAGAGACCCAGCUCAAUGGCUUAAACACACAAGGGUUUAUCCUGUCACAUUAACAAAAAAAAAAGUGCAGAGUAG
rnacentral:lncRNA from 1 species